UCUGGUUGAUUCUGCCAGUAGUCAUAUGCUUGUCUCAAAGAUUAAGCCAUGCAUGUCUAAGUAUAAGCAAUUAUACAGCGAAACUGCGAAUGGCUCAUUAUAUAAGUUAUCGUUUAUUUGAUAGUACCUUACUACUUGGAUAACCGUGGUAAUUCUAGAGCUAAUACAUGCUGAAAAUCCCGACUUCGGAAGGGAGGUAUUUAUUAGAUUAAAAACCAAUGCCCUCUGGGCUCCUUGGUGAUUCAUAAUAACUUUUCGAAUCGCACGGCCUUGCGCCGGCGAUGGUUCAUUCAAAUUUCUUCCCUAUCAACUUUCGAUGUUUGGGUAUUGGCCAAACAUGGUCGCAACGGGUAACGGAGGGUUAGGGCUCGACCCCGGAGAAGGAGCCUGAGAAACGGCUACUACAUCCAAGGAAGGCAGCAGGCGCGCAAAUUACCCAAUCCCGAUUCGGGGAGGUAGUGACAAUAAAUACUGAUACAGGGCUCUUUUGGGUCUUGUAAUUGGAAUGAGUACAAUUUAAAUCUCUUAACGAGGAACAAUUGGAGGGCAAGUCUGGUGCCAGCAGCCGCGGUAAUUCCAGCUCCAAUAGCGUAUAUUAAAGUUGUUGUGGUUAAAAAGCUCGUAGUUGAACCUUGGGCCUGGCUGGCCGGUCCGCCUCACCGCGUGUACUGGUCCGGCCGGGCCUUUCCCUCUGUGGAACCUCAUGCCCUUCACUGGGUGUGGCGGGGAAACAGGACUUUUACUUUGAAAAAAUUAGAGUGCUCCAGGCAGGCCUAUGCUCGAAUACAUUAGCAUGGAAUAAUAAAAUAGGACGCGUGGUUCUAUUUUGUUGGUUUCUAGGACCGCCGUAAUGAUUAAUAGGGACAGUCGGGGGCAUCAGUAUUCAAUUGUCAGAGGUGAAAUUCUUAGAUUUAUUGAAGACUAACUACUGCGAAAGCAUUUGCCAAGGAUGUUUUCAUUAAUCAGGAACGAAAGUUAGGGGAUCGAAGACGAUCAGAUACCGUCGUAGUCUUAACCAUAAACUAUGCCGACUAGGGAUCGGACGAUGUUAUUUUUUGACGCGUUCGGCACCUUACGAGAAAUCAAAGUGCUUGGGCUCCAGGGGGAGUAUGGUCGCAAGGCUGAAACUUAAAGAAAUUGACGGAAGGGCACCACCAGGGGUGGAGCCUGCGGCUUAAUUUGACUCAACACGGGGAAACUCACCAGGUCCAGACACAAUGAGGAUUGACAGAUUGAGAGCUCUUUCUUGAUUUUGUGGGUGGUGGUGCAUGGCCGUUCUUAGUUGGUGGAGUGAUUUGUCUGCUUAAUUGCGAUAACGAACGAGACCUUAACCUGCUAAAUAGCCUGUAUUGCUUUGGCAGUACGCCGGCUUCUUAGAGGGACUAUCGGCUCAAGCCGAUGGAAGUUUGAGGCAAUAACAGGUUGACCUACACAGGCCUGUCACAGUGGUCCUCACUAAAAUAUCCGCUAGUCGAGCGCAUUCACCUCUGUUGGGAAAGCUCCCUUUUACUGGGCAGAGGAGACGGCCGCCGCCGUCUUUGCGUCGGCGACACUACCUGGUACAGGGGACGCCUGAAAGGGCCGAUCCUGUGGCGAGCUCGGGUCGCGCCGAGCCGUCGCAACGCACGCUAAGGAGUGGGCUAGGAAACUAGCUUAAGGUACGUGCUAAUCCCACGGGCAACCGUGCUCGAUCGAAUAGGCCCAGUAAGCCGAAGCGAUCGGGGCUCUUGGGUAGUUC
rnacentral:rRNA from 1 species